rnacentral:misc_RNA from 1 species
CUGCACCCUCUCCUACCGAUACGUCAAAUCACAAGAGCACGACGGACUCUAAAGCGUUGGUCACUGUACCAGCAAUGACAGUGGAGGCACUUACUGUGGUUCCCAUGCAUCGAAAAUCUAAGCGGUCUGAGGUUGCACAGCGGCGAAUUCGCAGACCCUUCUCUGUUGCUGAAGUGGAGGCAUUGGUUCAAGCUGUUGAGAAACUUGG